AACGGUCUAUACCUGCGGUACCUGCGGAGGGAUCAUUACUGAGUGAGGGCCCCUCGGGGUCCAACCUCCCACCCGUGUUUAACGAACCUUUGUUGCUUCGGCGGGCCCGCCUCACGGCCGCCGGGGGGCUCCUGCCCCCGGGCCCGCGCCCGCCGAAGCCCCCCUCUGAACGCUGUCUGAAGUUGCAGUCUGAGAAACUAGCUAAAUUAGUUAAAACUUUCAACAACGGAUCUCUAGAUC
rnacentral:misc_RNA from 1 species